CUCCAAUGGUGAUCCACACAGGGCUAUGAUCAAGACACCAACUCCUUAGGAUGAUUCCUCCUCCAAAAUUCUUAAUCUAAAAAUUUUCUUGGAUAGCAGGAUCUCAAGACCUUCUUCCUCUCCUCCUAGCCUUCCUAUCCUUACCUUUCUUCUCUCUUCAUCUUCCUUAUAUCUCUUCUUAGACUCUUGUCCUAAAAUCAAACUUGUCCUUACUAUUUUUGAACUUAUCCUAACAAGAGAAGGAAGAGACUAAUUAGACAAUAGAGAGAGGGUAUAAGAAAGAAGAGAUAGGUUUAGAAUUCUGAAUGAAACAAAUCUCUGGUGCAACCCCCUUUAAAUAGUUAGCGAUGGGGUGCCUUUAGACUUGUCUUGCACCCUCUCCACAUGCCAUCUCGUGCCCUUCAAAAAUUUUCACAUGCCAAGAUAAAAUUCCACAC
rnacentral:lncRNA from 1 species